CUAGGUCAACCUGUAUAAUUGUACAUGUUUAUAUUUUGUUUCCUCUUUGCUCCUCAUUGACCCUGAGUCCAGUGCUCCAGCCACUGCCUGUAGAAGAAAGGAAAAAGGAAAAAACAAGGUCCUUAGAUGAUGGGGACACCAAUAGGAGGAAUUCGAACCAAUAGCCACAAAGGUGCAAGAUCAACGUUCUGCCCCAGGCUCGGAGAGUGAAGAAAGAUUCUGUCCAGUGGCAGUGGAGGCUCCACCAGCAGAAAAGCAGCAGAGUGGUGCAGCAGAGAAGGAGAGAAGAGAAGGAAAAUCACAACUUCGAGAGGAAUUCGGCUGGGGACAAUCAGAGGAGAGAUCGGCCACAGGAUGACCAAAUUCCAAGGGAAGAUGAUCUUCCCACUCCAUUCCCUUUCCAGCUCCCCAUCCAUCCCACUGAGAGCCACCUCCAACACUUAAUAAAAUCCCCACAUCCACC
rnacentral:lncRNA from 10 species